rnacentral:rRNA from 1 species
AACGAACGCUGGCGGCGUGGCUAAGACAUGCAAGUCGAACGGACCUGUUAAUUUAUUAGCAGGUUAGUGGCGAAAGGGUGAGUAAUGGAUAGGUAACGUGCCCUGUGCUCUGGGAUAGCCAUCCGAAAGGGUGGGUAAUACCGGAUGAUAUCACCGGCCGACAGGUUGGUGAUCAAAGAUUUAUCGGCGCAGGAGCGGCCUAUCUCCUAUCAGCUAGUUGGUGAGGUAAUGGCCCACCAAGGCGAAGACGGGUAGCGGGACUGAGAGGUUGGCCCGCCACAUCGGAACUGAGAUACUGUCCGGACCCCCACGGGGGGCUGCAGUAACGGAUAUUGGGCAAUGGGCGAAAGCCUGACCCAGCGACGCCGCGUGCGGGAGGAAGCCCUUCGGGGUGUAAACCGCUGUCAGGGACGUGAAGUCCACUUCGGUGGAUUGAUCUAACCCAAAGGAAGUCACGGCUAACUACUGUG